CGCCCCUUUUCAGCACUAGGUUCGUUGUCUGUAUUUCGUUUUGCAUUUCCACAGCUUGAAUGUGAAGAUCUCCCACAUAAUGACUCCGAAGCUCCAUACAUCGCUCUCAGUGGAGAACUUCCUGUACAUGAUGCUCUCCGGAGGCAUCCAGCGUAUGGGCAGCAUGGUUUGACCUCCCACCUACGAGAAAGAUUACACAUCAAGCAAUGCUCACAAACAUCUUACGUGAUAAAAGAAAAGAACACACAACAUAAGACUAAAACGGCGAAAGAGACGCACUAUUGUACACUAUUCAAAGGUAAACUGCAUGCAAACAGUCCGACACUGCACAUUUGUUUGUUAUUCAAAUGAGAAGGCAUCAUUAUUGUCAGCUGCCUCCUCUAGCCGAAGUGAUUUGUGCUUGGCUGACUGAUGAGACUAGACGAGAGAUAUACUGUAUCCCUCCUGUAGAGCGGCUCGGCACACAUCCCGCCUAAACAGAUGACAAGUGUUUUAGAAUCAGCAUGCAGCAGCACCCUUGCUCUCGGCCAGUCUGCUCUCACUACUGCAUGAAGCCUGUCAUUUAGAGAGUCCUGCUGCAAUCCCACCAGGAAAGGGAAAGAGAAAGAGAAUGGGAGGGUUGUGCAUCCCAUACGUGUGUCUCAUAUUCCAGAGCUUUUGAUCGGAAUGCUAAAAUCCAACUGCUGCACUUUUCAUUAGCAUUAUUAAUGCGUCUCAGUGGAACAGGGCCAAACCCUUUGGCUUUGUUGACUCUGCACCCAGUUGUGAUGUUUCACAAAUCCGAUAUUUAGGACGGAUUGUCCAUGCUGUCAGGUAAGAAAGCACAUUUGUGCAUUCUGACAUUAUGGUCAAGAACUGGUCUGCGGUGGCUACCAUACAUGUAAAAAA